rnacentral:lncRNA from 1 species
AUGAUGAUGUAUCUCAUACUCCUCUACUGCCACCUAGUGUUGUAUCUUAUACUCAUCUACUGCCAACUAGUGUUGUAUCUAAUAGUCCUCUACUGCCACCUAGUGUUGUGUCUAAUACUCCUCUACUGCCAACUAGUGUUGUAUCUAAUAGUCCUCUACUGCCACCUAGUGUUGUAUCUAAUACUCCUCUACUGCCACCUAGUGUUGUGUCUAAUACUCUACUGCCACCUAGUGUUGUGUCUAAUACUCCUCUACUGCCAACUAGUGUUGUAUCUAAUAGUCCUCUACUGCCACCUAGUGUUGUGUCUAAUACUCCUCUACUGCCAACUAGUGUUGUAUCUAAUAGUCCUCUACUGCCACCUAGUGUUGUGUCUAAUACUCCUCUACUGCCACCUAGUGUUGUGUAUAAUACUCCUCUACUGCCACCUAGUGUUGUAUCUAAUACUCUACUGCCACCUAGUGUUGUAUCUAAUAGUCCUCUACUGCCACCUAGUGUUGUGUCUAAUACUCCUCUACUGCCACCUAGUGUUGUAUCUAAUCCUCCUCUACUGCCACCUAGUGUUGUAUCUAAUCCUCCUCUACUGCCACCUAGUGUUGUAUCUAAUACUCCUCUACUGCCACCUAGUGUUGUGUAUAAUACUCCUCUACUGCCACCUAGUGUUGUGUAUAAUACUCCUCUACUGCCACCUAGUGUUGUAUCUAAUAGUCCUCUACUGCCACCUAGUGUUGUAUCUAAUAGUCCUCUACUGCCACCUAGUGUUGUGUCUAAUACUCCUCUACUGCCAACUAGUGUUGUAUCUAAUAGUCCUCUACUGCCACCUAGUGUUGUGUCUAAUACUCCUCUACUGCCACCUAGUGUUGUAUCUAAUAGUCCUCUACUGCCACCUAGUGUUGUUUCUAAUACUCCUCUACUGCCAACUAGUGUUGUAUCUAAUCCACCUCUACUGCCACCUAGUGUUGUAUCUAAUCCUCCUCUACUGCCACCUAGUGUUGUGUCUAAUACUCCUCUACUGCCAACUAGUGUUGUAUCUAAUAGUCCUCUACUGCCACCUAGUGUUGUGUCUAAUACUCCUCUACUGCCACCUAGUGUUGUAUCUAAUCCUCCUCUACUGCCACCUAGUGUUGUGUCUAAUACUCCUCUACUGCCAACUAGUGUUGUAUCUAAUAGUCCUCUACUGCCACCUAGUGUUGUAUCUAAUACUCUACUGCCACCUAGUGUUGUAUCUAAUAGUCCUCUACUGCCACCUAGUGUUGUAUCUAAUCCUCCUCUACUGCCACCUAGUGUUGUAUCUAAUACUCCUCUACUGCCACCUAGUGUUGUAUCUAAUCCUCCUCUACUGCCACCUAGUGUUGUGUCUAAUACUCCUCUACUGCCAACUAGUGUUGUAUCUAAUAGUCCUCUACUGCCACCUAGUGUUGUGUCUAAUACUCUACUGCCACCUAGUGUUGUAUCUAAUAGUCCUCUACUGCCACCUAGUGGUGUGUCUAAUACUCCUCUACUGCCAACUAGUGUUGUAUCUAAUAGUCCUCUACUGCCACCUAGUGUUGUAUCUAAUCCUCCUCUACUGCCACCUAGUGUUGUGUCUAAUACUCCUCUACUGCCAUCUAGUGUUGUAUCUAAUAGUCCUCUACUGCCACCUAGUGUUGUGUCUAAUACUCCUCUACUGCCACCUAGUGUUGUAUCUAAUCCUCCUCUACUGCCACCUAGUGUUGUAUCUCAUACUCCUCUACUGCCACCUAGUGUUGUAUCUAAUCCUCCUCUACUGCCACCUAGUGUUGUGUCUAAUACUCCUCUACUGCCAACUAGUGUUGUAUCUAAUAGUCCUCUACUGCCACCUAGUGUUGUGUCUAAUACUCUACUGCCACCUAGUGUUGUAUCUAAUAGUCCUCUACUGCCACCUAGUGGUGUGUCUAAUACUCCUCUACUGCCAACUAGUGUUGUAUCUAAUAGUCCUCUACUGCCACCUAGUGUUGUAUCUAAUCCUCCUCUACUGCCACCUAGUGUUGUGUCUAAUACUCCUCUACUGCCAACUAGUGUUGUAUCUAAUAGUCCUCUACUGCCACCUAGUGUUGUGUCUAAUACUCCUCUACUGCCACCUAGUGUUGUAUCUAAUCCUCCUCUACUGCCACCUAGUGUUGUAUCUCAUACUCCUCUACUGCCACCUAGUGUUGUAUCUAAUCCUCCUCUACUGCCACCUAGUGUUGUAUCUAAUCCUCCUCUACUGCCACCUAGUGUUGUAUCUAAUCCUCCUCUACUGCCACCUAGUGUUGUAUCUAAUACUCUACUGCCACCUAGUGUUGUAUAUAAUAGUCCUCUACUGCCACCUAGUGUUGUAUCUAAUCCUCCUCUACUGCCACCUAGUGUUGUAUCUAAUACUCCUCUACUGCCACCUAGUGUUGUAUCUAAUCCUCCUCUACUGCCACCUAGUGUUGUGUCUAAUACUCCUCUACUGCCAACUAGUGUUGUAUCUAAUAGUCCUCUACUGCCACCUAGUGUUGUAUCUAAUCCUCCUCUACUGCCACCUAGUGUUGUGUCUAAUACUCCUCUACUGCCAUCUAGUGUUGUAUCUAAUAGUCCUCUACUGCCACCUAGUGUUGUGUCUAAUACUCCUCUACUGCCACCUAGUGUUGUAUCUAAUCCUCCUCUACUGCCACCUAGUGUUGUAUCUCAUACUCCUCUACUGCCACCUAGUGUUGUAUCUAAUCCUCCUCUACUGCCACCUAGUGUUGUAUCUAAUCCUCCUCUACUGCCACCUAGUGUUGUAUCUAAUCCUCCUCUACUGCCACCUAGUGUUGUAUCUAAUCCUCCUCUACUGCCACCUAGUGUUGUAUCUAAUAGUCCUCUACUGCCACCUAGUGUUGUGUCUAAUACUCCUCUACUGCCACCUAGUGUUGUAUCUAAUCCUCCUCUACUGCCACCUAGUGUUGUAUCUAAUCCUCCUCUACUGCCACCUAGUGUUGUAUCUAAUACUCCUCUACUGCCACCUAGUGUUGUAUCUAAUAGUCCUCUACUGCCACCUAGUGUUGUGUCUAAUACUCCUCUACUGCCACCUAGUGUUGUAUCUAAUAGUCCUCUACUGCCAACUAGUGUUGUAUCUAAUAGUCCUCUACUGCCACCUAGUGUUGUAUCUAAUAGUCCUCUACUGCCACCUAGUGUUGUGUCUAAUACUCCUCUACUGCCACCUAGUGUUGUAUCUAAUAGUCCUCUACUGCCACCUAGUGUUGUAUCUAAUCCUCCUCUACUGCCACCUAGUGUUGUAUCUAAUCCUCCUCUACUGCCACCUAGUGUUGUAUCUAAUACUCCUCUACUGCCACCUAGUGUUGUAUCUAAUCCUCCUCUACUGCCACCUAGUGUUGUAUCUAAUACUCUACUGCCACCUAGUGUUGUAUCUAAUAGUCCUCUACUGCCACCUAGUGUUGUAUCUAAUCCUCCUCUACUGCCACCUAGUGUUGUAUCUAAUCCUCCUCUACUGCCACCUAGUAUUGUGUCUAAUACUCCUCUACUGCCACCUAGUGUUGUAUCUAAUCCUCCUCUACUGCCACCUAGUGUUGUAUCUUAUACUCUACUGCCACCUAGUGUUGUAUCUAAUAGUCCUCUACUGCCACCUAGUGUUGUAUCUAAUCCUCCUCUACUGCCACCUAGUGUUGUAUCUAAUCCUCCUCUACUGCCACCUAGUGUUGUAUCUAAUACUCUACUGCCACCUAGUGUUGUAUCUAAUAGUCCUCUACUGCCACCUAGUGUUGUAUCUAAUCCUCCUCUACUGCCACCUAGUGUUGUAUCUAAUACUCCUUUACUGCCACCUAGUGUUGUGUCUAAUACUCCUCUACUGCCACCUAGUGUUGUAUCUAAUAGUCCUCUACUGCCACCUAGUGUUGUGUCUAAUACUCCUCUACUGCCACCUAGUGUUGUAUCUAAUACUCCUCUACUGCCACCUAGUGUUGUGUAUAAUAGUCCUCUACUGCCACCUAGUGUUGUGUAUAAUACUCCUCUACUGCCACCUAGUGUUGUGUCCAAUACUCCUCUACUGCCACCUAGUGUUGUAUCUAAUAGUCCUCUACUGCCACCUAGUGUUGUAA